rnacentral:lncRNA from 1 species
UGAGUAUCCGCAAAGAGUCAAGGGCUACCUACUAUGGAAUUCUCAGUAACAGAAGCCAGUGAUUAGUAGGGAUAUCAUUUUUGAUGAGAAGAGCAUCUUGGACAAGUCUGAGGGUACAAAUAAAUCUGGAGAAGGGAAGUUGGACAGUGAUGGUCUAUCAGAGGUAAAUAGCAUACAGUGUAUAUCUACUUACAGGGAUGUUCCUAUUGAGGUGGAUCUGGAUAGGAGAGGACUUACUCAG